rnacentral:rRNA from 1 species
CUGGUAGCUUGGAAGCUGGAACCGAUGAUUUCAAGAAAAGAUGCAACACAAGCGAUUUAAAUAAAAAAAAGCUGAAACGCGAUUUAGAAGGAUGCAACCCGUUAAGCAGAUUGCUACUACCGGCAAUUAAAAAAGCUACAACCGUGUGGGCAAUUUGAUAGCCGAAUCCAUCCCUGGGAGAGUGGAUCUCACCGCCCCCCGCCGCUCGCAAAUUCCACCGGCAUGCGUGCGGCGUCGUCCCCGCCACACGCAACACCACGUCUCCUGCUCCUACCGCGCGGCUCCUGACCUCCAGCAACAACCAGCGGCAGCGCACGCAGCCACCCCCUGUUGCAUCCAGAAGACAAAAAAAAGCUUGCAGGAGUGGAUUGGCAGCGCCACCGUAGCAGAUCAGCCCCUCGAAUUGAUGAAGCAGGUCAGCGGCGUGGAGCUACGGGAGAGGAGGAGGCCUUGGCGGAAGCAACGCAGUAGCUUGGAGCAGCCAUGCCCGUGAGAGAUUGAGAGUAAUGGUGGGGGAGAAACACGGAAGGAAAG